GUUUAAGCUAAUAAGGGUGUAUGGUGGAUGCCUUGGCGUCCAGAGCCGAUGAAGGUCGUGGGAUAGCUGCGAAAAGCUUCGGGGAGCCGCUAACCAGGCUAUGAUCCGGAGAUGACCGAGAUUGGGUAACCAAGCAGGGAAACCCCUGUUGACGGCAAUGCCGUCGGGAACGCGGAGAACUGAAACAUCUAAGUACCCGCAGGAGAGGAAAGAAAACUCGACUCCCUAAGUAGCGGCGAGCGAACGGGGAUCAGCCUAAACCGGUGUAGUGCCAAGCUUGUGGGCGUUGCUUCACCGGUGUCGUGGGACCUUCGGACCCAACCACAAUAGGGUCAAGGAGUUACAAAGUGAUCGGUUAGACGAAUGGCAUGGGAAGGCCAGCCGCAGCGGGUGACAGCCCCGUAGUCGAAAACCGUGAACCUCCUGAAGUCAUCCCGAGUAGUGCCAGACACGGGAAACCUGGUAUGAAUUCGCGGGGACCACCCCGUAAGGCUAAGUACUCCUGGACGACCGAUAGCGUAAUAGUAGCGCGAGCGAAAGGUGAAAAGUACCCCUGUUAGGGGAGUGAAAUAGUACCUGAAACCAUAUACCUACAAGCUGUCGAAGGCCUAUGGCCCCUCGGGGCAACGGCUGACGGCGUGCCUUUUGCAUAAUGAUCCGGCGAGUUACGCUGUAUGGCGAGGUUAAGGGUCUAAGGCCCGGAGCCGAAGGGAAACCGAGUGUGAAUAGCGCGACUUGAGUCAUGCGGCGUAGACCCGAAAGCGAGUGAUCUAUCCAUGGGCAGGCUGAAGCGGAUGUAACAGUCCGUGGAGGGCCGAACGGGUAUAGGUUGAAAACUGUUCCGAUGACCUGUGGAUAGGAGUGAAAGGCUAAUCAAACUCGCAGAUAGCUGGUUCUCCCCGAAAUAGCUUUCGGGCUAGCGUCAGGUAAUAGCGUGCGGGGGUAGAGACACUGAUUGGGAUAGGGGCCCUUCGGGGUACCCUACUCAGCCAAACUCCGAAUACCGCACGUGGUAUCCUGGCAGUCAGACUAUGGGCGAUAAGGUCCGUGGUCGAGAGGGAAACAGCCCAGACCGCCAGCUAAGGUCCCUAAUGUGUGCUAAGUGCAGAAAAGGAACUGAAGUCUCUAAGACAGCCAGGAUGUUGGCUUAGAAGCAGCCAUCAUUUAAAGAGUGCGUAACAGCUCACUGGUCGAGAGGCUUUGGGCCGAAAAUGAACGGGGCUCAAGUGCACAACCGAAGCUGCGGAUUGCAAGGAGUCGUUGGCUCCUUGCAGUGGUAGGGGAGCGUUCUGACUGGGUGAAGGGCUACGGUAACGAGGCCUGGACGGUUCAGAAGUGAUUAUGCCGGAAUGAGUAACGAUAAAGCAGGUGAGAAUCCUGCUCGCCGAAAACCUAAGGUUUCCUGGGCACGGUAAAUCCGCCCAGGGUUAGUCGGGUCCUAAGGCGAGGCCGAAAGGCGUAGUCGAUGGGUAACGGGUUAAUAUUCCCGUACUGCCAACUAGCGUUUGACCGAUGGGGUGACGCGGGAGAGAAGGUGAUCAGGCUGACAGAUGCCUGUCUAAGCCCGAGGGCGGUGUGUAGGUAAAUCCGCACACGGAAACCCGGAGGUGAAUGCGAGCGCACUAGCGCGAAGUCACUGGACCGACCGCCUAGAAAAUCCUCUAGGGAGCUACGUUGGUAUCCGUACCAAAACUGACACAGGUAGGUGGGGUGAGAAUCCCAAGGCGCUCGAGAGAACUGCUGUUAAGGAACUCGGCAAAAUGACCCCGUAACUUCGGGAGAAGGGGUGCCCCUGGGAGUGUAGACCCUCGCGGUCGAAGCAUCUGGGGGCCGCAGAGAAUUGGCCCAACCAACUGUUUACUAAAAACACAGGUCUAUGCUAACUCUUAACGAGGAUGUAUAUAGACUGACGCCUGCCCAAUGCCGGAAGGUUAAGGGGAGUGGUUAGCGUAAGCGAAGCUGCGAACUGAAGCCCCGGUGAAUGGCGGCCGUAACUAUGACGGUCCUAAGGUAGCGAAGUUCCUUGUCGGGUAAGUUCCGACCCGCACGAAAGGCGUAAUGAGUUGGGCACUGUCUCAACAGCAGACUCGGUGAAAUUGUAGUCGUGGUGAAGAUGCCACGUUCCCGCACCAAGACGGAAAGACCCCGUGAACCUUUACUGCAGCCUGAUAUUGGUGCUUGUUGUGUAGUGCGUAGCAUAGGUGGGAGGCGUCGAAGCGGAGCUCUCGGGUUCUGUGGAGCCAUCAGUGAAAUACCACUCUCUGCACAUUAGGUCUCUAACGCGUAUGUCUGAAUCGGCUGCGCGGACAGUUUCAGGUGGGUAGUUUGGCUGGGGCGGUCUCCUCCUAAAAGGUAACGGAGGAGCGCGAUGGUACACUCAGCGCGGUUAGCAAUCGCGCGUAGAGCGCAAGGGUAUAAGUGUGCCUGACUGCGAGAGAUAUAGCUCGAGCAGAUACGAAAGUAGGUCCUAGUGAUCCGGCGGAUUCCGAGUGGAAGGGCCGUCGCUCAUCAGAUAAAAGGUACUCCGGGGAUAACAGGCUGAUCUCCCCCAAGAGUUCAUAUCGACGGGGAGGUUUGGCACCUCGAUGUCGGCUCAUCGCAUCCUGGGGCUGAAGGCGGUCCCAAGGGUUUGGCUGUUCGCCAAUUAAAGCGGUACGUGAGCUGGGUUUAGACCGUCGUGAGACAGGUCGGUCCCUAUCUGGUGUGGGUGUAGGAUGAUUGAGGAGGUUUUCCCCUAGUACGAGAGGAUUGGGGAGGACGAACCGCUGGUGCUCCAGUUAUCACGCUAGUGGUACAGCUGGGUAGCUAAGUUCGGAACGGAUAAGCGCUGAAUGCAUCUAAGCGCGAAGCCUUCUCCAAGACGAGUCAUCCCUUAGAGUCCCCUGGGAGACUACCAGGUUGAUAGGCAGGCGGUGUAAGCGCAGCAAUGCGUUCAGCUUACCUGUACUAAUCGGACCAUCGGCUUAAACAC
rnacentral:rRNA from 1 species